rnacentral:rRNA from 1 species
GUUGGCGGCGUGGAUUAGGCAUGCAAGUCGAGCGAGAACCGUAGCAAUACGGGGACAGCGGCGAAAGGGACAGUAAUGUGUAGAUCAUCUGCCCUCAGGUCCGGGAUAGCUGCGGGAAACUGCAGGUAAUACCGGAUAACAUCUCCGGAUCAAAGGUGUGAUUCCGCCUGAGGAUGAGUCUACAUCCUAUUAGCUAGUUGGUAGGGUAAUGGCCUACCAAGGCUGUGAUGGGUAGCGGGUGUGAGAGCACGACCCGCGUCAUUGGGACUGAGACACUGCCCAGACACCUACGGGUGGCUGCAGUCGAGAAUCUUCGGCAAUGGGCGCAAGCCUGACCGAGCGACGCCGCGUGUGGGAUGAAGGCCUUCGGGUUGUAAACCACUGUCAGAGGGGAUGAAAUGCCGGUGGGUUCUCCCAUCGGUUUGACAUAGCCUCAGAGGAAGGACGGGCUAAGUUCGUGCCAGCAGCCGCGGUAAGACGAACCGUCCGAACGUUAUUCGGAAUCACUGGGCUUAAAGGGUGCGUAGGCGGCGCGGAAAGUUGGGUGUGAAAUCCCUCGGCUCAACCGAGGAACUGCGCCCAAAACUACCGUGCUCGAGGGAGAUA